rnacentral:rRNA from 1 species
UCUCUCUGAAUCUGCGAACGGCUCCGCANACCAGUUGUAAACUCUAGCAAGGACCCGUGGAUGUGGUGGGUUUGCCAUGGUCCCGGGUGGUUUAGAUGGAUAUCCAUGGUAAUUCUACGGCUAAUACAAGUACGUACAACCUUCGUUUACCUGGCAACAGAAUAGCGGGGGGACGUGUAGUAUGGCCACAGAAUUAUCAUGGGAGUGUAUGCACGUUCAAGCCGUGAGAAGUCAGCCGCCGUGGUUUGUUUGGCCGCGGUUCCUGAACGGUUUUUGCUGUGUACCUCUGACCUAUCAACUAGAUGGCAGCGCAAGGGACAUGCUAGGGUUACAACGGGUACAGAGGAUUAGGGUUCGAUCCUGGAGAGUGGGCCUGAGAGAUU